rnacentral:rRNA from 1 species
GACGAACGCUGGCGGCGUGCUUAACACAUGCAAGUCGAACGGAAAGGCCCUGCUUUUGUGGGGUGCUCGAGUGGCGAACGGGUGAGUAACACGUGAGUAACCUGCCCUUGACUUUGGGAUAACUCCAGGAAACUGGGGCUAAUACCGGAUAGGAGCUCCUGCUGCAUGGUGGGGGUUGGAAAGUUUCGGCGGUUGGGGAUGGACUCGCGGCUUAUCAGCUUGUUGGUGGGGUAGUGGCUUACCAAGGCUUUGACGGGUAGCCGGCCUGAGAGGGUGACCGGCCACAUUGGGACUGAGAUACGGCCCAGACUCCUACGGGAGGCAGCAGUGGGGAAUAUUGCACAAUGGGCGGAAGCCUGAUGCAGCAACGCCGCGUGCGGGAUGACGGCCUUCGGGUUGUAAACCGCUUUCGCCUGUGACGAAGCGUGAGUGACGGUAAUGGGUAAAGAAGCACCGGCUAACUACGUGCCAGCAGCCGCGGUGAUACGUAGGGUGCGAGCGUUGUCCGGAUUUAUUGGGCGUAAAGGGCUCGUAGGUGGUUGAUCGCGUCGGAAGUGUAAUCUUGGGGCUUAACCCUGAGCGUGCUUUCGAUACGGGUUGACUUGAGGAAGGUAGGGGAGAAUGGAAUUCCUGGUGGAGCGGUGGAAUGCGCAGAUAUCAGGAGGAACACCAGUGGCGAAGGCGGUUCUCUGGGCCUUUCCUGACGCUGAGGAGCGAAAGCGUGGGGAGCGAACAGGCUUAGAUACCCUGGUAGUCCACGCUGUAAACGGUGGGUACUAGGUGUGGGGUCCAUUCCACGGGUUCCGUGCCGUAGCUAACGCUUUAAGUACCCCGCCUGGGGAGUACGGCCGCAAGGCUAAAACUCAAAGGAAUUGACGGGGCCCCGCACAAGCGGCGGAGCAUGCGGAUUAAUUCGAUGCAACGCGUAGAACCUUACCUGGGUUUGACAUGGAUCGGGAGUGCUCAGAGAUGGGUGUGCCUCUUUUGGGGUCGGUUCACAGGUGGUGCAUGGCUGUCGUCAGCUCGUGUCGUGAGAUGUUGGGUUAAGUCCCGCAACGAGCGCAACCCUUGUUCACUGUUGCCAGCACGUUAUGGUGGGGACUCAGUGGAGACCGCCGGGGUCAACUCGGAGGAAGGUGGGGAUGACGUCAAGUCAUCAUGCCCCUUAUGUCCAGGGCUUCACGCAUGCUACAAUGGCUGGUACAGAGAGUGGCGAGCCUGUGAGGGUGAGCGAAUCUCGGAAAGUCGGUCUCAGUUCGGAUUGGGGUCUGCAACUCGACCUCAUGAAGUCGGAGUCGCUAGUAAUCGCAGAUCAGCAACGCUGCGGUGAAUACGUUCCCGGGGCU